rnacentral:tRNA from 1 species
GGGUUCGGCCGGGAUUUGAACCCGGGACCUCUCGCACCCGAAGCGAGAAUCAUACCCCUAGACCACCGAACC